rnacentral:rRNA from 1 species
CCUACGGGAGGCAGCAGUGAGGAAUAUUGGUCAAUGGCCGGAAGGCUGAACCAGCCAAGCCGCGUGAAGGACGAAGGUGCCAAGCAUUGUAAACUUCUUUUGUCAGGGGACAAAAUCAGGCUCGAGAGCCUGACCGAGGGUACUUGAAGAAAAAGCAUCGGCUAACUCCGUGCCAGCAGCCGCGGUAAUACGGAGGAUGCGAGCGUUAUCCGGAUUGAUUGGGUUUAAAGGGUGCGUAGGCGGACUGUUAAGUCAGCGGUAAAAGCCCGGGGCUCAAACCCGGCGAGCCGUUGAAACUGGCUGUCUUGAGAUGUCGAGAGGUAUGCGGAAUGCGCAGUGUAGCGGUGAAAUGCUUAGAUAUUGCGCAGAACUCCGAUUGCGAAGGCAGCAUACCGGCGGCGAUCUGACGCUGAGGCACGAAAGCGUGGGUAUCGAACAGGAUUAGAUACCCCUGUAGUC